rnacentral:rRNA from 1 species
UGGGAAUCUGCCCUUGGGUUCGGAAUAACAGCGAGAAAUUGCUGCUAAUACCGGAUGAUGUCUUCGGACCAAAGAUUUAUCGCCAAGGGAUGAGCCCGCGUAGGAUUAGCUAGUUGGUGGGGUAAUGGCCUACCAAGGCGACGAUCCUUAGCUGGUCUGAGAGGAUGAUCAGCCACACUGGGACUGAGACACGGCCCAGACUCCUACGGGAGGCAGCAGUGGGGAAUAUUGGACAAUGGGCGAAAGCCUGAUCCAGCAAUGCCGCGUGAGUGAUGAAGGCCUUAGGGUUGUAAAGCUCUUUUACCAGGGAUGAUAAUGACAGUACCUGGAGAAUAAGCUCCGGCUAACUCCGUGCCAGCAGCCGCGGUAAU